rnacentral:lncRNA from 1 species
UUUGACAUAUUGUGCAAACAUGAAUGGGAUGAUGAGAAAAGAAUAUACAAGUUAGUUAUUUUUGUGUUCGAACGGAUGAACCCGUUGCCUACGUACCUUCCAUCAAAGGUAAGGAUCAAAACGCCGUAGUUCGGCUAAAAGAUUUCCAAAAAUUAGUGAGUUCAAUUUUAAAACACAAGCACUAAGGCUUUUCAUUACCAAUGGGAGAAAACUCAACCAA